UUUCCAAAAUACACAAAAUACACUAGAUUUCCACUAAAGGUGAUGGGGUGUGCAUAAAAACCGGAUCAACUGACCCAAACUGUAAAUCUGGUGAACCAAACUAAAAAAAGCCCAAUCCACUUGCAUUUAACCUGAUCCAAUCCAUUUAAAAAAAUAAAUUAAAACGGGUCGGUUACCCAUUUACCUUCUCAAACCCUCCAAUCUGAAAACACAUUUCACAAACGCGAUUCCAUACCAAAACGUGAUUCCAAACUCAGCUUCUCCAAACGCGAUUCUCCAUCUCAGCUUCUUCUACUCCAAACGCGAUUCUUCAACUCAGCUUCUUCUACUCCAAACGCGAUUCUUCAACUUCUUUACAAAUCUCAGCUUCUUUCUUCGCACUUUCAGGUCAGAUUCAUCGGAUUCAAAGUCGGAUCGCAAGUUCGAUAAAAAGCUUCAAUUUUAUACCAGUAAGUUUUUCGACUUGGUUUAGUAGUACAUGGUUGUAUCUAAACCCUAACUAAGAGUAUUAGGUCAAAUCUGUGUUUAUAAACACUGACAUGUGAUCAGCUGUAGUAGAUUAGUAGUAGUUACUAUUGUAACAAGCAUUAUAAUUUGAGUAGUGUCUAAUUUCUAGUAUGUUUAUUAUAUAUAAUUAAUUAAUUGAUUAUCAUUACCAUCUUUGUUGGUUAUUCACCAAUUUGGUACCAUUGCUAUGGUGUUAAUAGAAGAGACACCCUACGGUUUCCUUUAGUUUAUUUUUCCUGAUACAUAGUAGACCCUUAGAAACUAAUGUUGCACUAGAAUGUUUAUCCAAUAAGAAGUUGAUUGUGUGAAUACCUUCA